rnacentral:rRNA from 1 species
CCUACGGGUGGCAGCAGUGGGGGAUAUUGCACAAUGGGGGGAACCCUGAUGCAGCGACGCCGCGUGGGUGAAGAAGCGCCUCGGCGCGUAAAGCCCUGUCAGCAGGGAAGAAAAUGACGGUACCUGAAGAAGAAGCCCCGGCUAACUACGUGCCAGCAGCCGCGGUAAAACGCAGGGGGCAAGCGUUAUCCGGAUUUACUGGGUGUAAAGGGGGCGCAGGCGGGGAUGCAAGUCAGGAGUGAAAGCCCGGGGGCCAACCCCGGGACUGCCGUUGGAACUGGGUGGCUGGAGUGCAGGAGGGGUAGGCGGAAUGCCUGGUGUAGCGGUGAAAUGCGUAGAUAUCAGGAGGAACACCGGUGGCGAAGGCAGCCUACUGGCCUGCAACUGACGUUGAGGCCCGAAAGCGUGGGGAGCAAACAGGAUUAGAUACCCCGGUAGUC